rnacentral:rRNA from 1 species
CAAUAUAAGUGAUGGCGACCGGCGCACGGGUGAGUAACACGUAUCCAACCUGCCGAUAACUCGGGGAUAGCCUUUCGAAAGAAAGAUUAAUACCCGAUGGUAUAGUAAAACCGCAUGGUUUAAUUAUUAAAGAAUUUCGGUUAUCGAUGGGGAUGCGUUCCAUUAGGCAGUUGGUGAGGUAACGGCUCACCAAACCUUCGAUGGAUAGGGGUUCUGAGAGGAAGGUCCCCCACAUUGGAACUGAGACACGGUCCAA